rnacentral:rRNA from 1 species
UUUACCGUGAAAAAAUUAGAGUGUUCAAAGCAGGCAGAUCCAAUUUUCUGCCACCGAAUACAUUAGCAUGGGAUAAUAGGAAUAGGACCCUGUCCUCCUAUUUUCAGUUGGUUUUGGCAGCGCGAGGACUAGGGUAAUGAUUAAUAGGGAUAGUUGGGGGCAUUAAUAUUUAAUUGUCAGAGGUGAAAUUCUUGGAUUUAUGAAAGAUUAACUUCUGCGAAAGCAUCUGCCAAGGAUGUUUUCAUUAAUCAAGAACGAAAGUUAGGGGAUCGAAGACGAUCAGAUACCGUCGUAGUCUUAACCAUAAACGAUGCCGACCAGCGAUUAGGAGACGUUGAAUACAAAACACCACCAUCGGUGCGGUCGUCCUUGGCGUCGGUUUCGGCCGGCGCGGGGGCGGCUUAGCCCGGUGGCACCGGUGAAUGACUCCCCUA